CAGCAGCCACGGUAAAACGUAGGGUGCAAGCGUUAAUCGGAAUUACUGGGCGUAAAGCGUGCGCAGGCGGUUAUAUAAGACAGAUGUGAAAUCCCCGGGCUCAACCUGGGAACUGCAUUUGUGACUGUAUAGCUAGAGUACGGCAGAGGGGGAUGGAAUUCCGCGUGUAGCAGUGAAAUGCGUAGAUAUGCGGAGGAACACCGAUGGCGAAGGCAAUCCCCUGGGCCUGUACUGACGCUCAUGCACGAAAGCGUGGGGAGCAAACAGGAUUAGAUACCCCUGUAGUCCCUGUCUCUUAUAC
rnacentral:rRNA from 1 species